UAAGCACCAAUUUGUAAGUCGCUCUGGAUAAGAGCGUCUGCUAAAUGACGUAAA
rfam:Salmo salar isolate Sally breed double haploid chromosome ssa01, whole genome shotgun sequence.